rnacentral:rRNA from 1 species
AUUGAACGCUGGCGGCAUGCCUUACACAUGCAAGUCGAACGGUAACAGGUCUUCGGAUGCUGACGAGUGGCGAACGGGUGAGUAAUACAUCGGAACGUGCCCGACCGUGGGGGAUAACGAAGCGAAAGCUUUGCUAAUACCGCAUAAGAUCUACGGAUGAAAGCAGGGGACCGCAAGGCCGUGCGCGACCGGAGCGGCCGAUGGCAGAUUAGGUAGUUGGUGGGAUAAAAGCUUACCAAGCCGACGAUCUGUAGCUGGUCUGAGAGGACGACCAGCCACACUGGGACUGAGACACGGCCCAGACUCCUACGGGAGGCAGCAGUGGGGAAUUUUGGACAAUGGGCGAAAGCCUGAUCCAGCCAUGCCGCGUGCAGGAUGAAGGCCUUCGGGUUGUAAACUGCUUUUGUACGGAACGAAAAGACUCUUUCUAGUAAAGAGGGUCCAUGACGGUACCGUAAGAAUAAGCACCGGCUAACUACGUGCCAGCAGCCGCCGUAAGAC